AUGUGGGCAAAACCUUAUUUUGCUGGGAAAUUCUGUGCCAGAAUGACUAGCACACAACAUAGUGAAAGUGCCAAUCACAUGUUGAAGAACUACGUACCUCCAGGAUGCCCUAUGAAUUUGUUUGUCAAACAAUAUAGCAAGCUCCAGUUUGACAGAGAUCAAGAAGAAGGGUUUCAAGAAAAACGCACCAGACUGNNNNNNNNNNNNNNNNNNNNNNNNGCAAACAUUCUGUUGGAAAAGCACGCAAGCAAAAUAUACACCAGAACAAUGUUUGAGAUGUUCAGAUCACAUAUGUACGCAGCAGGGUCGUACACUAUAGCUGAGAUAACUCCAAAGAGAUUGUACACCGCUACUCAUGUCAAUGCAGAGAAAAGGAGCAAGUAUUGUAAGACGGUUUUUGAAAUAGGAAUAUCAGAUGACGGGGAGAUUUAUAAGUGCCAGUGCGGACUGUUCGAGCAUAUGGGCAUGGUUUGCUGCCACAUAAUAAAGGUCAUGAUGGUGCUGGAUGUUAAGAUGAUCCCACAAUACCAUAUCAUGAAGCGUUGGACAGUAGACGCACGGGACAUCCUACCUGAACACCUAAAGCAUUACCAGAAGGAUAUGGGUCCUAUUGAAUCACCUACGUACCGGCACUCAGCUCUGUACAACGCAGCUCUUGAGCUAGUAAGGCUUGGCGACACUAAUGUACAUAGUUACGAGUUUACUAUAAAGUACAUCAAGGACGGUUUAUUAAAAGUGUCACCUCUUUGCGACAAAGGAGAUGGCAUGAGUGUAUUGGACAAAGCAUCCAGCAUAGCCAGGUCAAAUGCAACUAGCCAAAUCAGGGGUGAUCUUAGCAUGAACAUGCCAGCCGAUGCACAGGAGCUUUCUGAAUCAAGGCACCAAAACAUGGCGAAGCGUACAAGGUCUGAAAGUUCAUGCAUGAAUGGCGGUGGCGCAGGCGAAGGUGAUAGUUCAGAAUCAAUGAACGAUGUGUUCUCUCCUGAUAGAAAUCACCAAGAACUAUCAGCACCACCUCCUAAAAGGUUAAGAGGCAGACCUACAACAGCAAGAGAUAAGGCACCUUAUGAGAAGAACAUUAAGAGGACUCGAUUUUGCAAGAUUUGUAGGGGUGAAGGACACAAGUGCACCACAUGCCCAAUGAGAGGGGAUGCUCCAGUUAAACCAAGGAAGCAAUCAACAUGCACCAAUUGUGGAGUAGCUGGACAUCGCAGGAACAGCUGCGGGAAAAAUAAAAUGUUCAACGACAGGUUAUCUAUUGAGUGA
rnacentral:rRNA from 1 species